CAGAGUUUACAACUCCCAAACCCAAAUGUGAACAUACCAAUCGUUGCUUCGGCGGACUCGUCCCGGCGUCCGGGUGGCCUUGUGCUGCCCGCGGCCCGGAUCCAGGCGGCCGCCGGAGACCAUCAAACCCUUUGUAUUAUACGUAUCAUCUGAAUCCGCCGCAAGGCAAAACAAAUGAAUCA
rnacentral:misc_RNA from 1 species